CCAGAUGUCUGCCCCAACCGGGAGGAGCUGCUAUUGGAAAGUUAAGUAUCUAUAUUUAUCACUUCUGCCAUGUCAUUGUUGUAUAACACUCUAUCUUUAUACUUCAUCCAGAAGGUGUUCAUUAUAUACCUUGUCUGUUUUUGUGAUAACCGUUAUGGUCAGCCCCAUCUCUAGUACCGGCAGGUUAGAUAGUGGCUAUCUAUGCAUGACUUGUUCCAUUGCUAACUUGGGGGAGUUAUCAAUGUGGCACCAUGUGUAGAUAGACAUAACUAAUUAACCCUAAAGAAUCAGUUAGUGAAAUUGUAGAUUAGUCACCUAUUGUAAUAAAUCUUUGCAAAAUGGCAAUUUACCAUAUAAUUCUAUGGUGAAUGUCAGCCCCAUUCCUAGUACCGGCAGGUUAGAUAGUAGCUACCUAUGCAUGACUUGUUCCAUUGCUAACUUGGGGGAGUUAUCAAUGUGGCACCAUGUGUAGAUAGCCAUAAUAACUAGUUAACCCUCAGUUAUUUCUAUUAUUGUCAUACUAUUCAGCAUCAGUAGAACAAUAGUCAGUGCCUACUAAAUGAAGGUAGGAAUGCAUUAGGAAAGUCCUAGCUGUAAGUAUGGCUGAUACCUCGACUGAGGAUUUGCAGCCACUAUCAUUGUUGUUUUUAACAUGCUGCUUUUUUAUCUUUUGUGUUUGUUCGGCUCUUCAUUAUUGCUUCAUUUUCUAACAGCUUUUGUCUUUCUCACAAGUAUUUAGGUACUUUUUUUUUAGAAUUCUUUUCCUGUAGAGCAAGAAUAUUUGAUGCUGUCUGCUAGCCCUGGACACUGAUACCCAAGAAAGAGUGAGAUGACCAUCUUACCAGACUGGAAGGAGCUACGAUGAGACGAGCAAGAAUAUUUGACACUGCCUGCUAGCCCUGGAUACUAAUACCCAAGAAAGAGUGAGACGACCAUCUGCCCAGACUGGAAGGAACUGCGUUAAAACGGUAAGAUCUUUCCUAUAUGGUUUAUGCCAUAGGCUUGUUCUAAUAGCCUGUGUCUUUGUACCUAAUUUAUUAAUUUAUCCAAAUCCAUUUUGCACUGUGCUAUAUAGCCUUCAAGGAGCCCUGUAGUGUUAGACACAUCCCCAAUCCACAGGAUAGGGCAUAAGUGUCUGAUUGUGGGGGGCUCUGACCGCUGGGACCCCCACGCUAUGUCCUGUACGGGGACCUGGCAUUGCUGCGGCUCUGCGUGGCUAAUGCACGUGUCUCUGACCUCACUGAGGUAGUCACGCCUCCUCCUUACUGCAUCUCCGCCUCUCCCAUAGAGAUACAUGGAGGGGGCGUGUACGCAGUGGCAGGCAGGCCUCCUGCACGAGAGGUCCGAUGCAUAGCCGGGGCCCCAUACAGGAGAUUGCAGGUGUUCCAGCAUUUGUACCCCUGCGAUCAGACACUUAGCCCUUAGCCCCUAUCUGCAGUAUAAGUGUCUAACACUGCAGAUCUCCUUUAAGCAGUCAGAUGUUUUUUUUUAUUUAUUAAAAUUGAAAAGUUGCUUCAUUUUCUAACAACAGCUUUUGUGUCUUUCUCACAAGUAUCUAGGUAGGUUUUUUUUUUAGAAUUCUUUUCCUGUAGAGCAAGAAUAUUUGAUGCUGCCUGCUAGCCCUGGACACCAAUACCCAAGAAAGAGUGAGACGCCCAUCUGCCCAGACUGGAAGGAGCUACGAUGAGACGAAAAUGUGAUUGCUAGCCCUUUACACCAAUACCAAAGAGAGUGAGACGACCAUCUGCCCAGACUGGAAGGAGCUACGAUGAGACGGUAAGGUCUAUGCCAUUGACUUGUUCUAAUAGCCUGUGUCUUCAUAUUUCUGUUCUAUUGUGUAAGACAAUCCACACCUGGGAGGAGCUGCUGUCAGACCAAUAAGUUACUAACUUUGACCUAUGUCAUAUUCUUGUUCUAGAAGUAUCUAUCAGUUUGCUUUCUCCAGGUAUUCCUUAUCUUCCCUGGCUGGAAUUGUGGAUGUACACUGCAAGAAUAUUUGAUUCUGCCUGCUAGCCCUGGACACCAAUACCCAAGAAAGAGUGAGACGCCCAUCUGCCCAGACUGGAAGGAGCUACGAUGAGACGAUUUGGCAAGCUCAUUCUACUACAUGGUGUAGCAGACCAUGGCAAGAACCUUAAACUUACUACCUUACCAGUCUUUGAAUCUCCAUAAGACAAGGCAUGACAUCUGGAAAAAAUCGUAUGGUAUGAGAAGUUUAUUAUACUACCCGGUAUAGAAGACCAUAUAAAGAACAUUUAACAACUUCCUAGCUUACCAUGCUAUUAGCAGAAGUCUUGACAUCUUGCCAAAAUCAUAUGAUCCUCACUUCUGCACUUCCUGUUCUGUGAAGUAAUCAACCGUUUCCACAAUGAAACGCUCCGGCAACAUUAAAACCUGGCUGCGCCCCAUUGUCCGAGUUACAAAAGUUUAAACAUGUUGAUGUUGUGUGUGUUGUUUUUUU